UAACGCGUUAAAUCGACCGCCUGGGGGGUACGGCCGCAAGGUUAAAACUCAAAUGAAUUGACGGGGGCCCGCACAAGCGGUGGAGCAUGUGGUUUAAUUCGAUGCAACGCGAAGAACCUUACCUACUCUUGACAUCCAGAGAACUUUCCAGAGAUGGAUUGGUGCCUUCGGGAACUCUGAGACAGGUGCUGCAUGGCUGUCGUCAGCUCGUGUUGUGAAAUGUUGGGUUAAGUCCCGCAACGAGCGCAACCCUUAUCCUUUGUUGCCAGCGGUUCGGCCGGGAACUCAAAGGAGACUGCCAGUGAUAAACUGGAGGAAGGUGGGGAUGACGUCAAGUCAUCAUGGCCCUUACGAGUAGGGCUACACACGUGCUACAAUGGCAUAUACAAAGAGAAGCGACCUCGCGAGAGCAAGCGGACCUCAUAAAGUAUGUCGUAGUCCGGAUUGGAGUCUGCAACUCGACUCCAUGAAGUCGGAAUCGCUAGUAAUCGUAGAUCAGAAUGCUACGGUGAAUACGUUCCCGGGCCUUGUACACACCGCCCGUCACACCAUGGGAGUGGGUUGCAAAAGAAGUAGGUAGCUUAACCUUCGGGAGGGCGCUUACCACUUUGUGAUUCAUGACUGGGGUGAAGUCGUAACAAGGUAACCGUAGGGGAACCUGCGGUUGGAUCACCUCCUUACCUAAAGA
rnacentral:rRNA from 1 species